GAGGAGGAGCUCUAGAUUAAUACUCUAGAUGCUUGGACGUUACUCGCAGAAUAAGCACCGGCUAACUCUGUGCCAGCAGCCGCGGUAAUACAGAGGGUGCAAGCGUUAAUCGGAUUUACUGGGCGUAAAGCGUGCGUAGGUGGUCUUUUAAGUCGGAUGUGAAAUCCCUGAGCUUAACUUAGGAAUUGCAUUCGAUACUGGGAGACUAGAGUAUGGGAGAGGAUGGUAGAAUUCCAGGUGUAGCGGUGAAAUGCGUAGAGAUCUGGAGGAAUACCGAUGGCGAAGGCAGCCAUCUGGCCUAAUACUGACACUGAGGUACGAAAGCAUGGGGAGCAAACAGGAUUAGAUACCCUGGUAGUCCAUGCCGUAAACGAUGUCUACUAGCCGUUGGGGUCUUUGAGACUUUAGUGGCGCAGCUAACGCGAUAAGUAGACCGCCUGGGGAGUACGGUCGCAAGACUAAAACUCAAAUGAAUUGACGGGGGCCCGCACAAGCGGUGGAGCAUGUGGUUUAAUUCGAUGCAACGCGAAGAACCUUACCUGGUCUUGACAUAGUAAGAACUUUCCAGAGAUGGAUUGGUGCCUUCGGGAGCUUACAUACAGGUGCUGCAUGGCUGUCGUCAGCUCGUGUCGUGAGAUGUUGGGUUAAGUCCCGCAACGAGCGCAACCCUUUUCCUUAUUUGCCAGCGGGUUAAGCCGGGAACUUUAAGGAUACUGCCAGUGACAAACU
rnacentral:rRNA from 1 species